rnacentral:rRNA from 1 species
CAACCCCAUGUCAGGUGGGAUUACCCGCUGAGUUUA